UAAAUGCCCUGUUUUGGGCAUUAAAUUUUAAUAGUCUCGUCUGGCAGCUAAAUAAAGCCGGACGGGGGGAGUGGAGUUGUUUAUGAAGUGACGCUCGAAAUUUAUUUAAAACACUUGCAAUAAAUUCCAAAAGAUUUCCCUAUGAUGUAUUCGUGCAACUUAAUGCUAAUGCGAAUUUAUUGACCAAUGCGAGAGAAACGCUGCCUCAAAAGAAAGUCCAGCUUACACAGAGAAAGACAAUAGGAGAGCCGGAGAGAGCGGGUAAAUUUGUCCCCAAUCAAUCAUAAUUUGUAUCUGUCAGCACAAGCAGCGACCGCGGCCAUUGAGUGAUGAAGUUGUCACCACGGCUCACACACACACACUCUCGCGAAGCACACUCACGCAUACACACACACACACACACACACAGAUACAGAUACGCGCAGUGACAGAAAAGCCAACUAAAGUCAACCACAAAUCCCUGCACAGUGGGGCACGUCUGUCAAUUAAACAAUUAAUUAUGAAACGAUUCCUUGCCUCCAGAGACAGUUGGUGCUCGGCUGCGUGCCUGCGCGCAGCGCUAUCAGCUUCGAAAUAUCUUCAAAAAUGUCAUGGAAAAUAUCAAUUUUUACCCCAUAGAUAUAUUCACAUUAAUAAUCCAGAAUCUUUGCAUGUUUGUGAACCACUGUGCACGGUAAGUUUGUCCAUUGCCACGAAUGCCUUGCAUUCGGAAUCAUAUUUCGGCCACACUCACACACAUAUGCAUCCAUUCACCUGUAUACGCAUACAUAUAUGAUGCGGUAUGUAUAUGUAGGUUUAUGUGCAGCUGUGAUAUAUCGCGAAUUUGGAUUUGCUGUGACAAAAGCCCGAAAAUGCAAACAAAAGAAAUGAAACGAAACAAAACAGAAGAAACGAAACGAAACGAAAAGAAUGGAAAGCUGAGAAAAGUUUGAUGUGCUCCGAACUUGACAAAUGUCUGACAAAUCCUGUCAGCAUCUAGCAGGCCUAAUGAAACCCAAUUGCUGCUUAGCCGCCAGCCGUCCCCACGAUAUCAGCUCAAACAAAACGAACUUGGGUUCAGCUCCCGGUCCCAGGUUCCCGAAAUCCGGCCUAACUGUCACUGAGACUGGAGCGGAGUUGGGCAACGGAAAAUCCGCGGCACGUGAUUCCGCUCAUCUGCAGUGCCGCCUUGGUUCUGUUUCAAUUUGGACUUUGCUUUAUGCCGUCCGACUCCGCCAUAAUUCUCUCCCAGUGCACACAUAUUUAUUAUGAUUUUUUCACACACGUGUGCGCAAAAAGUUGCCGUUAAUAACGAUUAAAUGCGCCUGAUGACGGGGAC
rnacentral:lncRNA from 1 species